AGUGGCGGACGGGCGAGUAACGCGUGAGCAACCUGCCUUGUACUGGGGGAUAACGUCGGGAAACCGGCGCUAAUACCGCAUAACACUACGAAAUCGCAUGGUUUUGUAGUCAAAGCUCCGGCGGUACAAGAUGGGCUCGCGUCCGAUUAGCUAGUUGGUAGGGUAACGGCCUACCAAGGCGACGAUCGGUAGCCGAACUGAGAGGUUGAUCGGCCGCAUUGGGACUGAGACACGGCCCAGACUCCUACGGGAGGCAGCAGUGGGGAAUAUUGCGCAAUGGGGGCAACCCUGACGCAGCAACGCCGCGUGAAGGAAGAAGGCCUUCGGGUUGUAAACUUCUUUGAUCGGGGACGAAAAAUGACGGUACCCGAGGAACAAGCCACGGCUAACUACGUGCCAGCAGCCGCGGUAAUACGUAGGUGGCAAGCGUUGUCCGGAAUUACUGGGUGUAAAGGGCGUGUAGGCGGGGAUGCAAGUCAGAUGUGAAAUUCCGGGGCUUAACCCCGGCGCUGCAUCUGAAACUGUAUCUCUUGAGUGCUGGAGAGGAAAGCGGAAUU
rnacentral:rRNA from 1 species